UUUCAACAUCAUCUACCACUGCAACUACUACAACAACAGUCAUAACAACUACAGUAGCUGUAGUGCCUACAUCUAGAGUAACAACAUACCACCCUGCUGAAACCACAACAAACAUCACAGCAGGCUAUAUGCUGAUAGUUGUGGUGAUUUCUGUCAUAGCCAUAUUUAUAUUUGUAUCCAUUGGAGUCAUCUAUCUGCACCAAUUUUACU